UACCAGACUCCUACGGGAGGCAGCAGUGGGGAAUAUUGCACAAUGGGGGAAACCCUGAUGCAGCGACGCCGCGUGAGCGAUGAAGUAUUUCGGUAUGUAAAGCUCUAUCAGCAGGGAAGAAAAUGACGGUACCUGACUAAGAAGCCCCGGCUAACUACGUGCCAGCAGCCGCGGUAAUACGUAGGGGGCAAGCGUUAUCCGGAUUUACUGGGUGUAAAGGGAGCGUAGACGGCAUGGCAAGCCAGAUGUGAAAUACCGGGGCUCAACCCCGGGACUGCAUUUGGAACUGUUAAGCUGGAGUGUCGGAGAGGCAGGCGGAAUUCCUAGUGUAGCGGUGAAAUGCGUAGAUAUUAGGAGGAACACCAGUGGCGAAGGCGGCUUACUGGACAGUAACUGACGUUGAGGCUCGAAAGCGUGGGGAGCAAACAGGAUUAGAUACCCCUGUAAG
rnacentral:rRNA from 1 species